rnacentral:rRNA from 1 species
AUUGAACGCUGGCGGAAUGCUUUACACAUGCAAGUCGAACGGCAGCACGGACUUCGGUCUGGUGGCGAGUGGCGAACGGGUGAGUAAUGUAUCGGAACGUGCCCAGUCGUGGGGGAUAACGUAGUGAAAAUUACGCUAAUACCGCAUACGAUCUAUGGAUGAAAGCGGGGGAUCGCAAGACCUCGCGCGAUUGGAGCGGCCGAUAUAAGAGUAGGUAGUUGGUGGGGUAAAGGCCCACCAAGCCAACGAUCUGUAGCUGGUCUGAGAGGACGACCAGCCACACUGGAACUGAGACACGGUCCAGACUCCUACGGGAGGCAGCAGUGGGGAAUUUUGGACAAUGGGCGAAAGCCUGAUCCAGCCAUUCCGCGUGCAAGAUGAAGGCCCUCGGGUUGUAAACUGCUUUUGUACAGAACGAAAAGGUUUCUACUAAUACUAGGAGCUCAUGACGGUACUGUAAGAAUGAGCACCGGCUAACUACGUGCCAGCAGCCGCGGUAA